GUUCUAAACCCCUCUGCCAAUAACAGCAAUUUGCCACUUUUUCAUUGAAAUCUAUUACAGUAAUGUACUUAAUUGUUAUCCAGAAGUGAUUUGACAUUGGGCCUUUAAGUAGCUACCUUUUUGCACGUCUGAGUACCAUAAAACAGUCUUAUGUGUUUGGUUAUACUGUAGCGGCAUGAGUCAUGAUGUCAACAGUCCUCCUAUACAGUAUGAGUCAUGAUGUCAACAGUCCUCCUAUACAGUAUGAGUCAUGAUGUCAACAGUCCUCCUAUACAGUAUGAGUCAUGUCAAGCUGAACAGGAUCAUCUUUUUUCUACAUGAGAACUGUAUGAUGACCUACUACAGUAACUCCUUUUUCUGAAAUUACAGACAGUGAUGCAGGCUAAUUCUUUAUGAGUUUUUAGAAUGGCAUAUCUUUAUCUCUGUGCACCUGAUGAGGUUAAAAUGUAGAAUGUUUUCUUAUGCGUAUUAGACAGCCUCUAGUUUCCCAGGACUUGAGCCUGAACCCAGGACUCACUGGAAAACAGUAAACAACAGUGGGACUCUGGCCACCUUCUCGCUUCCUCCACGGAUGACCUACCCAGUCCAGAUCCCUGCAGGGGUCACAAUGCAGACAGCCUCUGGCCAGCUUUACAAGGUCAACAUCCCAGUGAUGGUGUCCCAGGCUCCAGCCGGCCACAGCCCUCUCCCCUCAGCUCCAGAAGGGGGUACCUGUAGUGGAGCAGAGCGAUCCCAGCUCAGCUUCCCAGCAGUCAGCUAUGGUGGUCCCUUCUACUGUCCUCAAGACCAUGACCCCUCCGAAGACAGAACCGUUCUCCCCACGGACUGUGGCCCCUCCCACAGCUCUACCUCAGACACCAGAGCAGAAGACCCUGAUACGUCCAGUCCAGUUGAUGCCUCCGGUCCAGCCACCUGAUGAGAAGCCCGUGCUACCCAAACCCAUGGUCCAGCCCCCAGUUCAGGAGAACCAUCUCCUUCAGCAGCCACAGGUUCCUUUAGCUCAAGCACGCUUUUCUGUACAGACUCCAGUGUCCUUUUAUUUCCCGUCCCAACCGCCAUCUCACCCCCCAGAGAGCCCUUUUGACAGUGGUGAUUUCAAUCUGGAUGGGAUUGACUUCGACAGUCCACAGCCACAGCAGCUAGACAUGAGCCUGUCCUCAUCCCUCUCCUCUGGCUCCGCCCAGAUGCCAAAGCCUUCAGGCAAAGUCUUAUAAAAAAGAUGGUGAACAGGAGGACAACACACCUGAGCAGGAUAUAACAGACCUGGAGGGUCUACCUGUGUAUGCUACCAAGCUGGAGAUGACCCUGUUGAAAGACUACAACUUCAACGAUGCUCUGGCAGACAUCAUCCACCUGAACAGCAGUUCUGAUGUGGAGGAGUUGGAGGAGGUGAUGGAAGGAGGUGCAAUGGGAGAGAAUGAGUUUCUAGGUAUGAUCACUGCGGAGGCUCUGCAGGCCCUACAGGAGGCAGAGGGCAGCAGCGAUGAUGGCAACUCCAGCUCCAGUGGUGACGGUGUCUGGAUGGAUGACUUCCCAGUGGAAGAGAAGCAGAUACCCACGUGCCAUCUCCUCAUUGGUUAUAACCACGUGGGUGAUUGAAAGAUGAACUGAGGUUGGUCGGUCAUGGUAAUCCACCUAUGAAAGUUAGAUGCCAAUCGCCAUAUCAAGUUCAAAGAAGAAAAGGCCUGGAAGGAGGAGAGAUGACUUGAAACGAUUCGGUUGACCGUUUUAUGUGUGGAUUAAUUAUCGGAGUAGAGGACAUUGUGCAUUUCAGGUAAAAUAGCAACUCAACAUUUAUAUCCCAGGACAAAUUAGCUAGCAACUGCAAGCUAGCUAGCUAAAUUGCCAUAAAUGUUUAAUGCUUUUUGACCUGUCCCCAAAUUAAUAUAAUUGGUUCAGAGUUUGUUUUGAUAUUUCAACCUUCUUGUCGCACGCACUCGUCCGGUUUGGGUAUGGUGUUAGGUGCCAAUACGAUAUGUAUUGCGAUUCAAUACUGUGAUUUUUAUUGUGAUUCGAUGUUCCAAACAUUUUACUUCAGAUUCACCUCAUUAAGAACUGGUGGAAGUUCUAUCUGAAGGAUGGGGUGAUGUGUUACGGAGGGGAGGACUGUCUUCUCAAAGGCUGUUGAGGAGGCAGAGUGGUGACUGGAUUCAUGUUAUGUUCCACUGCAAUGCCAAUACAGAUCCUAAGUAGCAUGCUAGUGUGAAUAUCAGAACAGAACCUUGGUCUGUAUUUCACCCAUGUGGAUACAGCCUUGACUUAGUCUUAAAUGUGUCCAACGAGGUGUAUAAUACAAGUGUGUAAAACAAUAAUAUUAUCAUUUUGAAGUUAUUGGGGAAAACCAGUUGUUCAGUGAGCUAGAAAAAACAUUUUGGAAUCUAUACAGACUUCUGUGAAGGAAAUGUCUGGAUGAGAAGUAAUGUGUCUGGCCCAAAUCACACCCUAUAUACUGCACUACUUUUGAUCAGGCUCCAUAGGGCUCUGGUCAAAAGUAGUGCACUAUAUGGUGCAUAGGGUACCAUUUGGGAUGCUCACUAUCUAAUUCAGCCACCACAGUGCAGUAAUGGCUUUCUGAUUUGUUGAUUUCAUCCUUUAUUUAACUAUUUAAAAUGUUUCUCUUAUUUAUGUUAUGUAAUGCCGUUAAUGAGCACAUUUGCCAAGUAGGUCCAAACGGAGCUUAGUAAUUUUUAAUGAUGCUCUGUUUGUUUAUAUGUACCAAAUUCAUUCAUAUUAAGAGAUACAUCAUGUGAUUUUCUGUUCUGAGCAAUGUUACAAAACAAUGUAUACAGUAUGCCACAAAAUGUUUUUCUUUCUGCCAUGGUGGUCUUUUCUGAGUCCUUGGUAGUGACUGAAAUGUGAAUUCAAAUACCUCUUAUUUUUUCACUGUCAAUAAAAUAUAAGCA
rnacentral:lncRNA from 1 species